AGUGAACGCUGGCGGUAGGCCUAACACAUGCAAGUCGAACGGCAGCACAGGAGAGCUUGCUCUCUGGGUGGCGAGUGGCGGACGGGUGAGGAAUACAUCGGAAUCUGCCCAGUCGUGGGGGAUAACGUAGGGAAACUUACGCUAAUACCGCAUACGACCUUCGGGUGAAAGAGGGGGAUCGCAAGACCUCUCGCGAUUGGAUGAGCCGAUGUCGGAUUAGCUAGUUGGCGGGGUAAUGGCCCACCAAGGCGACGAUCCGUAGCUGGUCUGAGAGGAUUAUCAGCCACACUGGAACUGAGACACGGUCCAGACUCCUACGGGAGGCAGCAGUGGGGAAUAUUGGACAAUGGGCGCAAGCCUGAUCCAGCCAUACCGCGUGGGUGAAGAAGGCCUUCGGGUUGUAAAGCCCUUUUGUUGGGAAAGAAAUCUUUCAGGCUAAUACCCUGGGAGGAUGACGGUACCCAAAGAAUAAGCACCGGCUAACUUCGUG
rnacentral:rRNA from 1 species